rnacentral:rRNA from 1 species
CUUGUACACACCGCCCGUCACACCAGUGGGAGGUUCGGGUUUUACCAAGAAGUGGCUAGUCUAACCGCAAGGAGGACGGUCACCACGGUAGGAUUCAUGACUGGGGUG